AACGAACGCUGGCGGCAGGCUUAACACAUGCAAGUCGAGCGCCCCGCAAGGGGAGCGGCAGACGGGUGAGUGACGCGUGGGAAUCUACCGAGCCCUGCGGAAUAGCUCCGGGAAACUGGAAUUAAUACCGCAUACGCCCUACGGGGGAAAGAUUUAUCGGGGUUUGAUGAGCCCGCGUUGGAUUAGCUAGUUGGUGGGGUAAUGGCCUACCAAGGCGACGAUCCAUAGCUGGUCUGAGAGGAUGAUCAGCCACAUUGGGACUGAGACACGGCCCAAACUCCUACGGGAGGCAGCAGUGGGGAAUAUUGGACAAUGGGGGCAACCCUGAUCCAGCCAUGCCGCGUGAGUGAUGAAGGCCUUAGGGUUGUAAAGCUCUUUCACCGGUGAAGAUAAUGACGGUAACCGGAGAAGAAGCCCCGGCUAACUUCGUGCCAGCAGCCGCCGUAACAC
rnacentral:rRNA from 1 species